AGCUGUUAGAGUUGGAAAGCACACUGACUUCAAGCCUCGAUAGCUUGUGAUAGAGAAGAGCUCCAAAAAGCUGGCGUCAAUCUUAUUGGCUGUACCUUUUAUCUCAAGCUGUUAGAGUUGGAAAGCGCACUGACUUCAAGCCUCGAUAGCUUGUGAUAGAGAAGAGCUCCAAAAAGCUGGCGUCAAUCUUAUUGGCUGUACCCUUCAUCUCAAGCUGUUAGAGUUGGAAAGCACACUGACUUCAAGCUUGGGAUAGAGAAGAGCUCCAAAACGCUGGCGUCAAUCUUAUUGGCUGUACCCUUCAUCUCAAGCUGUUAAAGUUGGAAAGCACACUGACUUCAAGCCUCGGUAUCUUGUGAUAGAGAAAAGCUCCAAAAAGCUGGCGUGAAUAAAACUGACUUAUCUUGCUUUGCUGUCGUAUUCUUUGUUGUUUCACGGUGUUUGAGGCCGUUUGGAAGCGUUUUCAGCGAGUUAGCGCUGCUGGUGGUG